GACGAACGCUGGCGGCGUGCCUAAUACAUGCAAGUAGAACGCUGAAGGAGGAGCUUGCUUCUCCGGAUGAGUUGCGAACGGGUGAGUAACGCGUAGGUAACCUGCCUGGUAGCGGGGGAUAACUAUUGGAAACGAUAGCUAAUACCGCAUAAGAGUAGAUGUUGCAUGACAUUUGCUUAAAAGGUGCAAUUGCAUCACUACCAGAUGGACCUGCGUUGUAUUAGCUAGUUGGUGGGGUAACGGCUCACCAAGGCGACGAUACAUAGCCGACCUGAGAGGGUGAUCGGCCACACUGGGACUGAGACACGGCCCAGACUCCUACGGGAGGCAGCAGUAGGGAAUCUUCGGCAAUGGACGGAAGUCUGACCGAGCAACGCCGCGUGAGUGAAGAAGGUUUUCGGAUCGUAAAGCUCUGUUGUAAGAGAAGAACGAGUGUGAGAGUGGAAAGUUCACACUGUGACGGUAUCUUACCAGAAAGGGACGGCUA
rnacentral:rRNA from 1 species